UAUGAGGCAACAUAAAAGGGCCUUGAUCUCCAGUUUGUAAAGAUGACGUGAUCUGUGGUGUGAAAGAAAAGAAAUACUUUGCAUUUUUUGAAAUGGCCAUGAAGAGAGGACCAGGCUACAUCUCAGAAAUCAAUAUCACAUUUUAUGCCUGCUGCACCCUUCAUGAAGAAUCAAGACAACAUUGAUUUGAGACACCAGAAGAUCUAACUAAGUCAGAAUGUCUCAGUUAUAGUCCAGAUUUCUAUUUAUUGCCUACCUCACCGAGAAAGACAAGGAGGGAGCCUUCUGCUGUAGAUCUCAAGUGAUGCUCAAGGGGAAGAACAGCAUGUACAAGGAGGGGAGCCAAGAGCCUGCCACUAGAGAUAAACCCUGGGGACAGUGUCAAGGU